UACGUAGGGUGCGAGCGUUAAUCGGAAUUACUGGGCGUAAAGCGUGCGCAGGCGGUUUUGUAAGCCAGAUGUGAAAUCCCCGGGCUUAACCUGGGAAUGGCAUUUGGGACUGCAAGGCUCGAGUGCGGCAGAGGAGACUGGAAUUCCUGGUGUAGCAGUGAAAUGCGUAGAGAUGUGGAGGAACACCAAUGGCGAAGGCAGCCUUCUGGGCCAACACUGACGCUCAUGCACGAAAGCGUGGGGAGCAAACAGG
rnacentral:rRNA from 1 species